UACGAAGGGGGCGAGCGUUGUUCGGAAUCACUGGGCUUAAAGGGCGCGUAGGCGGAUCAUCAAGUCAGGGGUGAAAUCCCACGGCUCAACCGUGGAAGUGCCUUUGAUACUGGUGGUCUGGAGUGGGGUAGGGGCAUGCGGAACUGGUGGUGGAGCGGUGAAAUGCGUAGAUAUCACUAGGAACGCCGGUGGCGAAAGCGGCGUGCUGGACCCCAACUGACGCUGAGGCGCGAAAGCCAGGGGAGCAAACGGG
rnacentral:rRNA from 1 species